rnacentral:SRP_RNA from 1 species
UCAUGCUAAGCGGGGAACUAGCGGUGCCCUGAACCUGCAAUCCGCUACAGCAGGGCUGAAUCCCUUCUUGGAGGUCUGUUCCUUCUGGGCAAGAGUCAUGCAAGGGGCGAUGAAGGCUGGCCCCUGUGCGACGGAGAUUUACGAACCCCGUCAGGUCCGGAAGGAAGCAGCGGUAAGUAAAAUCCUCCGGGGGCUGCAGGUGAGUCUGGCUGGAGUUACCUGCCUGAUAGCUUCUCAGAACGGAAGAACGAAAAGAAGGUGCAUGG